rnacentral:lncRNA from 1 species
UCUCCGAGCCCACGGGGAGGGAGCUGAGGACCCUAGACUCUGUGCGAGCCCUCGGGAGGGGCAACGACCUGACCGAGCUCCUGCGGGAGGACGCCCUGGCGAGCGUGGGUCUGAGCUCGGCGCGCCCCGAGGGUAAGGGCGGCUACGUUAUUUUCAUUCUUUGACUUUCGCUUUUACUGCCACUGGCCCGACACUUAACAAAAUUUUUGAUUUCAGAUAUUCCCCGUUUGCCGACCAGCAACACGUCGCUUUUUUCCCGCCUGAGGAGGCGGAAGGCCGAGGCCGGGGGGGCUAAUCCCCAGCCUCGGAGGAGGGCAAGGACAGACGGCGCUUCCUCGUCGGCCGGGACGAGUGGCCCCGAGGCGGGGG